rnacentral:tRNA from 1 species
GGGCGGAUAGCUCAGCUGGUCAGAGCACCUGCCUUACAAGCAGGGGGUCGCAGGUUCAAAUCCUGCUUCGCCCACCA